rnacentral:rRNA from 1 species
CCCUUAGAUGUUCUGGGCCGCACACGCGCUACACUGGCAGGUUCAUCGAGCUUCAUGCCCUGAUCUGAGAAGAACGGGAAAUUUUUGAACACCUGCCGUGCUUGGGAUAGAUGUUUGCAAUUAUUCAUCUUCAACGAGGAUUGCCUUGUAAGCGCACGUCAUCAGCGUGCAUUGAAUACGACCCUGUAUUCUGUACACACCGCCCGUCGCUCCUACCGAUUGAAGUUUUCGGUGAAUUUACUGGAGAUCCCUUUUGAAGGUGGUUCGCCACUGGAAGAAGUAUUCAAAAGUAAAUGAAUCGAAUGCUUUAGAGGAAGGAGAAGUCGUAACA